rnacentral:rRNA from 1 species
UACGUAGGGAGCGAGCGUUAUCCGGAUUCAUUGGGCGUAAAGCGCGCGUAGGCGGCUGCCUAGCGGAACCUCUAACCCCGGGGCUCAACCUCGGGCCGGGUUCCGAACUGGGCGGCUCGAGUGCGGUAGAGGAGAGCGGAAUUCCUGGUGUAGCGGUGGAAUGCGCAGGAUAUCGGGAAGAACACCGAUGGCGAAGGCAGCUCUCUGGGCCGGCACUGACGCUGAGGCGCGAAAGCUGGGGGAGC